AACAGCAUAUUGGACGCAAACCAAAAGAAACUAAAUAAUCUUGUGUAGCGUAAAGACAUAUUGAUUAGCAGUCAUGGUUAGUGUGAUUCUCCUUGCAUAUAUCUCAGUGAAUCUUUUCAUUCCGAGUCAAGGUCAAAACAUUCAACGGGCUAAGAUUUUCAGUCAAAACAAAGAAGUGCCAGAAGGGGGUAAACUGGAGGUUACUUGCAGUGCAUUUGGUCUGGCAACAAAGGCAGUUUAUGUCUAUCUGUGUACAGACGGUAAAGCUGUAGAUGUGCAAUUUGGACAAGAUGUCUCCUUUAAAAUAGAGCGUGUGGAAACGAACCAAUCUGGCAACUACAGCUGUGUGUUUUCAGAAGAGAAGUUGGAGAUAACUAAAGUUAUGGGAUAUGGUCAAAAUAAUGUCUUCAUCAAUGUGACCGGUAAGAUAUUCUGACAUUUCU